rnacentral:lncRNA from 1 species
GAAUUCUAUGGCCAGUAUCAGUGCCAACAUAUAACUCCAAAAACGUGGGGUUAUAGUGGUUACCAGAAACAACCACUUCUAAAACAAGACUUACUUAUUGACCAGUUCAGCUAUUACUACCAUGACAAUGAAGUCAUUUUCAUGCCUACACUUAGAUUUAAAAAUAUGACUUAGCAGACCUGAACACUUAACGUGGAGUUUUCCUAUUUUCUCUGUGAAGUUUUAGAUAAUACAAUUUCUAUACAAAGUAAGUUCAAUCUAUUUAUUUAUGUUGGAAACCUGUUCUGAUUAAAUAAGUUACCAAAUAUGAAUAUAGUCUUUUAUUAUUCCAAAGAUUUAGUGCUUAAUACAUAUACUCCUUAUGUAAUAGGGAAAGAACAUUCUGUAUGGUGAGGGUAUAUUAAAUGUAUGAAGUACCACAUUUCCUCUUCAGAUUGUGUGAAAUUAUUUCCAUUUCAUUAUUUACUGUUUAAAUUGUUUUACUAUUUAAGUAAUAUUUAUGAAUUUGUUCUCGCUAUUUUUGGUUUUAAAAAUUUAUUUUCCGCUGUUUUUUCCAUAAUCUUGUACAGUCAUUCAAUUAAAAACUUUGAGUGACAAUUUACUGUGUGCCUGCUAUUUGCUGAAGUACUGAAGAAAAUUUAGGAAAAGAAAAUAGAAAUGCAGGCCAAGCACAGAGGCUCACAUCUGUAAUUCCAACAUUUUGGGACCCUAAGACAGGAGGAUUGCUUAAGGUCAGGAGUUUAAGACCAGCCUGGACAACAGGGUGAGACCCUGCCUCUAUAAAAAAUAAAAAAAUUAGCUGGGCGUGGUGGUGCACACCUGUAGUCCCAGCUACUCGGUAGGCUGAGGUGAGGGGAUUGCUUGGCCCAGGAGCUCAAGGCUGCAGUAAGCUAUGAUUAUGCCACUGCACUCAAGCCUGGGUGACAGAGCAAGUCUCUAAAAAAAAAAAAAUGCAGAUAAAAAUACUUACAAAUUUGGGUUCUGUUAUUUAGAAUUCUUGGUAAUUGACAGAUUUAAAUUAAUGUUGAUGGUACUUGCAUUCCAGUGCAGUUCUACUGAAUCAAAAUCAUCAAGGAUGGGCCAGAAUUCCAUAUUUUUCAAAAAGUGUGUAGCCAGGGCUCAUAACUACCCAAUGAAGCGUUGAACUCAGGAGGACAUUGUGACUUGUUACAGCUUUUGGAUGGUGUUGAUGAGAUUGAUAUAAAUCAUCUAACAGUUUUUAAGCACUAAGAAAAUUCAAUCACUUUUUGGUGUUACUGCUAUGUAUAAACAAAAGACGGCGGUAUACAGGCACUUCACUUGAGCACGUGGUUGGGAGUGGGAGUGAAAAUGCUUUAUUUACCAAAAAAAGUGUUCUCAAGAAAUUUAAAACAAAGAUUUUGAUAGCCUUUAUGCUACUUAGAAAUCAUAUUUAACUUUUUUUAAUGUCAUUCCUAUAAAAGCGUUUUCCCCCCAUUUUGCUAGCCUGCUGCCAUUAUAUGCAAUUAAUUUAACAAAACUGUAUUCAAAUGCUUUAAUUCUAUUUCUUUCCUUUCUUCAUUAUAUUUUCAAUUAGUAUUACUUUAUUAUUAAAUGUAUCACUGAUUAAACUUUUCUCUUUCUGCAAAUUCUUUCACAGUAAAUUUUAGUAAAAAUUAUAGUAAAAUAAAUUUUAUUGGUUGUAACUUUUACUAUUUUCUAGUUCUACAUUUCUGCUGCUAAUUAGGAUGAGAAAUGUUCCAGAGUAAAUUCAUUAUGUAAAUAAAUACAAGUUUGUUUUUUUAAAAGAUAGAAGAUUUUCCUAGUUUAACACAUUGUAGGUGCUUAAUAGA